rnacentral:ncRNA from 5 species
GUGAACCUGCGGAAGGAUCA